AUUGAACGCUGGCGGCAUGCCUUACACAUGCAAGUCGAACGGCAGCAUGGAGAGCUUGCUCUCUGAUGGCGAGUGGCGAACGGGUGAGUAAAGCAUCGGAACGUACCGUGUAGUGGGGGAUAACGUAGCGAAAGUUGCGCUAAUACCGCAUACGCACUGAGGUGGAAAGCAGGGGAUCGUAAGACCUUGCGCUAUACGAGCGGCCGAUGUCAGAUUAGCUAGUUGGUAGGGUAAAGGCCUACCAAGGCGACGAUCUGUAGCGGGUCUGAGAGGAUGAUCCGCCACACUGGGACUGAGACACGGCCCAGACUCCUACGAGAGGCAGCAGUGGGGAAUUUUGGACAAUGGGGGCAACCCUGAUUCAGCCAUGCCGCGUGAGUGAAGAAGGCCUUCGGGUUGUAAAGCUCUUUCGGCCGGGAAGAAAUCGCACAGGCUAAUACCCUGUGUGGAUGACGGUACCGGCAUAAGAAGCACCGGCUAACUACGUGCCAGCCGCCGCCGUAA
rnacentral:rRNA from 1 species